GAUGAACGCUGGCGGCGUGCCUAACACAUGCAAGUCGAGCGAUUCUCUUCGGAGAAGAGCGGCGGACGGGUGAGUAACGCGUGGGUAACCUGCCCUGUACACACGGAUAACAUACCGAAAGGUAUGCUAAUACGAGAUAAUAUACUUUUAUCGCAUGGUAGAAGUAUCAAAGCUUUUGCGGUACAGGAUGGACCCGCGUCUGAUUAGCUAGUUGGUAAGGUAACGGCUUACCAAGGCGACGAUCAGUAGCCGACCUGAGAGGGUGAUCGGCCACAUUGGAACUGAGACACGGUCCAAACUCCUACGGGAGGCAGCAGUGGGGAAUAUUGCACAAUGGGCGAAAGCCUGAUGCAGCAACGCCGCGUGAGCGAUGAAGGCCUUCGGGUCGUAAAGACUCUGUCCUCAAGGAAGAUAAUGACGGUACUUGAGGAGGAAGACCCCGGCGUAACUACGUGCCAGCAGCCGCGGUAA
rnacentral:rRNA from 1 species